UGCCCCAGUAACGGCGAGUGAAGCGGCAACAGCUCAAAUUUGAAAUCUGGCCCCCCGGCCCGAGUUGUAAUUUGCAGAGGAUGCUUUUGGUGAGGCACCUACCGAGUCCCCUGGAAUGGGGCGCCAUAGAGGGUGAGAGCCCCGUAUGGUAGGACGCCGAACCUCUGUAAAGCUCCUUCGACGAGUCGAGUAGUUUGGGAAUGCUGCUCUAAAUGGGAGGUAAAUUUCUUCUAAAGCUAAAUACCGGCCAGAGACCGAUAGCGCACAAGUAGAGUGAUCGAAAGAUGAAAAGCACUUUGAAAAGAGGGUUAAAAAGUACGUGAAAUUGUUGAAAGGGAAGCGCUUGUGACCAGACUUGCGCCGGGCGGAUCAUCCAGCGUUCUCGCUGGUGCACUCCGCCCGGUUCAGGCCAGCAUCGGUUUUCGCCGGGGGACAAAGGCUUCGGGAACGUGGCUCCUUUCGGGGAGUGUUAUAGCCCGUUGCGUAAUACCCCGGCGGGGACCGACGACCGCGCUUCGGCAAGGAUGCUGGCGUAAUGGUCAUCAGCGACCCGUCUUGAAACACGGACCGAGGAGUCAAGCAUUAGUGCGAGUGUUUGGGUGUAAAACCCGCACGCGUAAUGAAAGUGAACGUAGGUGAGAGCUUCGGCGCAUCAUCGACCGAUCCUGAUGUUUUCGGAAGGAUUUGAGUAGGAGCAUUAACGCUUGGACCCGAAAGAUGGUGAACUAUACUUGAAUAGGGUGAAGCCA
rnacentral:rRNA from 3 species